rnacentral:rRNA from 1 species
UACGUAGGGGGGCAAGCGUUUGUCCGGAAUCAUUGGGCGUAAAGCGCGUGUAGGCGGCCCGGUAAGUCCGCUGUGAAAGCCCGAGGCUCAACCUCGGAACUGCCUUCGAUACUGCGGGUCUCGAGUCCGGGGAGAGGUGAGUGGAAUUCCUAGUGUAGAGGUGAAAUUCGGUAGAUAUUAGGAAGAACACCAGUGGCGAAGGCGGCUCACUGGCCCCGGGUACUGACGCUGAGGCGCGAAAAGCGUGGGGAGCAAACAGG